UACGUAGGGGGCAAGCGUUGUCCGGAUUUAUUGGGCGUAAAGCGCGUGUAGGCGGCCAUACAGGUCCGUUGUGAAAACUCGAGGCUUAACCUCGAGACGUCGAUGGAAACCGUAUGGCUAGAGUCCGGAAGAAGAGAGUGGAAUUCCUGGUGUAGCGGUGAAAUGCGCAGAUAUCAGGAAGAACACCCGUGGCGAAGGCGGCUCUCUGGGACGGUACUGACGCUGAGACGCGAAAGCGUGGGGAGCGAACAGG
rnacentral:rRNA from 1 species